rnacentral:rRNA from 1 species
GACGAACGCUGGCGGCGUGCUUAACACAUGCAAGUCGAACGGAAAGGCCCUGCUUUUGUGGGGUGCUCGAGUGGCGAACGGGUGAGUAACACGUGAGUAACCUGCCCUUGACUUUGGGAUAACUUCAGGAAACUGGGGCUAAUACCGGAUAGGAGCUCCUGCUGCAUGGUGGGAGUUGGAAAGUUUCGGCGGUUGGGGAUGGACUCGCGGCUUAUCAGCUUGUUGGUGGGGUAGUGGCUUACCAAGGCUUUGACGGGUAGCCGGCCUGAGAGGGUGACCGGCCACAUGGGGACUGAGAUACGGCCAGACUCCUACGGGAGGCAGCAGUGGGGAAUAUUGCACAAUGGGCGGAAGCCUGAUGCAGCAACGCCGCGUGCGGGAUGACGGCCUUCGGGUUGUAAACCGCUUUCGCCUGUGACGAAGCGUGAGUGACGGUAAUGGGUAAAGAAGCACCGGCUAACUACGUG